rnacentral:rRNA from 1 species
GGGUGAGUAACGCGUGGGUAACCUGCCUCAUACAGGGGGAUAACAGUUAGAAAUGGCUGCUAAUACCGCAUAAGACCACAGUACUGCAUGGUACAGUGGUAAAAACUCCGGUGGUAUGAGAUGGACCCGCGUCUGAUUAGGUAGUUGGUGAGGUAACGGCCCACCAAGCCGACGAUCAGUAGCCGACCUGAGAGGGUGACCGGCCACAUUGGGACUGAGACACGGCCCAGACUCCUACGGGAGGCAGCAGUGGGGAAUAUUGCACAAUGGGCGAAAGCCUGAUGCAGCGACGCCGCGUGAAGGAUGAAGUAUUUCGGUAUGUAAACUUCUAUCAGCAGGGAAGAAAAUGACGGUACCUGACUAAGAAGCCCCGGCUAACUACGUGCCAGCAGCCGCGGUAAUACGUAGGGGGCAAGCGUUAUCCGGAUUUACUGGGUGUAAAGGGAGCGUAGACGGCUGUGCAAGUCUGAAGUGAAAGGCAUGGGCUCAACCUGUGGACUGCUUUGGAAACUGUGCAGCUAGAGUGUCGGAGAGGUAAGUGGAAUUCCUAGUGUAGCGGUGAAAUGCGUAGAUAUUUAGGAGGAACACCAG